rnacentral:ncRNA from 1 species
UUUGGCAAAGCAGGGGAAACGCUGUGACGCAAAGCUAUAGGGUCUGUAAUUUUUAUGAUAGCCAGCUGC